AGAGUUUGAUCCUGGCUCAGGACGAACGCUGGCGGCGUGCUUAACACAUGCAAGUCGAACGAUGAAGCUCCAGCUUGCUGGGGUGGAUUAGUGGCGAACGGGUGAGUAACACGUGAGUAACCUGCCCCUGACUUCGGGAUAACCACGAGAAAUCGUGGCUAAUACUGGAUGUCCACAUGUGCCUGCAUGGGUGUGUGUGGAAAGAUUUAUCGGUUGGGGAUGGGCUCGCGGCCUAACAGCUUGUUGGUGGGGUGAUGGCCUACCAAGGCGACGACGGGUAGCCGGCCUGAGAGGGUGACCGGCCACACUGGGACUGAGACACGGCCCAGACUCCUACGGGAGGCAGCAGUGGGGAAUAUUGCACAAUGGGCGAAAGCCUGAUGCAGCGACGCCGCGUGAGGGAUGACGGCCUUCGGGUUGUAAACCUCUUUCAGUAGGGAAGAAGCCUUCGGGUGACGGUACCUGCAGAAGAAGCGCCGGCUAACUACGUGCCAGCAGCCGCGGUAAUACGUAGGGCGCAAGCGUUGUCCGGAAUUAUUGGGCGUAAAGAGCUCGUAGGCGGUUUGUCGCGUCUGCUGUGAAAACGCAAGGCUUAACCUUGCGCCUGCAGUGGGUACGGGCAGACUAGAGUGCGGUAGGGGAGACUGGAAUUCCUGGUGUAGCGGUGGAAUGCGCAGAUAUCAGGAGGAACACCGAUGGCGAAGGCAGGUCUCUGGGCCGUUACUGACGCUGAGGAGCGAAAGCAUGGGGAGCGAACAGGAUUAGAUACCCUGGUAGUCCAUGCCGUAAACGUUGGGCACUAGGUGUGGGGUCCAUUCCACGGAUUCCGCGCCGCAGCUAACGCAUUAAGUGCCCCGCCUGGGGAGUACGGCCGCAAGGCUAAAACUCAAAGGAAUUGACGG
rnacentral:rRNA from 1 species